rnacentral:rRNA from 1 species
UGCAAUUGAGAUUUGAUCAUGGCUCAGAUUGAACGCUGGCGGCAGGCCUAACACAUGCAAGUCGAGCGGCAGCGGGAAAGUAGCUUGCUACUUUUGCCGGCGAGCGGCGGACGGGUGAGUAAUGCCUGGGAAAUUGCCCAGUCGAGGGGGAUAACAGUUGGAAACGACUGCUAAUACCGCAUACGCCCUACGGGGGAAAGCAGGGGACCUUCGGGCCUUGCGCGAUUGGAUAUGCCCAGGUGGGAUUAGCCAGUUGGUGAGGUAAUGGCUCGCCAAGGCGACGAUCCCUAGCUGGUCUGAGAGGAUGAUCAACCACACUGGAACUGAGACACGGUCCAGACUCCUGCGGGAGGCAGCAGUGGGGAAUAUUGCACAAUGGGGGAAACCCUGAAGCAGCCAUGCCGCGUGUGUGAAGAAGGCCUUCGGAUUGUAAAGCACUUUCAGCGAGGAGGAAAGGUUGAUGCCCAAUACGUAUCAACUGUGACGUUACUCGCAGAAGAAGCACCGGCUAACUCCGUGCCAGCAGCCGCGGUAAUACGAGGGUGCAAGCGUUAAUCGGAAUUACUGGGCGUAAAGCGCACGCAGGCGGUUGGAUAAGUUAGAUGUGAAAGCCCCGGGCUCAACCUGGGAAUUGCAUUUAAAACUGUCCAGCUAGAGUCUUGUAGAGGGGGGUAGAAUUCCAGGUGUAGCGGUGAAAUGCGUAGAGAUCUGGAGGAAUACCGGUGGCGAAGGCGGCCCCCUGGACAAAGACUGACGCUCAGGUGCGAAAGCGUGGGGAGCAAACAGGAUUAGAUACCCUGGUAGUCCACGCCGUAAACGAUGUCGAUUUGGAGGCUGUGUCCUUGAGACGUGGCUUCCGGAGCUAACGCGUUAAAUCGACCGCCUGGGGAGUACGGCCGCAAGGUUAAAACUCAAAUGAAUUGACGGGGGCCCGCACAAGCGGUGGAGCAUGUGGUUUAAUUCGAUGCAACGCGAAGAACCUUACCUGGCCUUG